GUGCUUCCUUCAGCAGCAUAUUUACUAAAAUUUGAACAAUACAGAGAAUGUUAGUAUGGCUCCUACACAAGACUGACACUUGAAUUUGCAAAGUAUUCCAUAUUUAU